AGAGUUUGAUCCUGGCUCAGAUUGAACGCUGGCGGCAGGCCUAACACAUGCAAGUCGAGCGGUAGAGAGAAGCUUGCUUCUCUUGAGAGCGGCGGACGGGUGAGUAAUGCCUAGGAAUCUGCCUGGUAGUGGGGGAUAACGUUCGGAAACGGACGCUAAUACCGCAUACGUCCUACGGGAGAAAGCAGGGGACCUUCGGGCCUUGCGCUAUCAGAUGAGCCUAGGUCGGAUUAGCUAGUUGGUGAGGUAAUGGCUCACCAAGGCGACGAUCCGUAACUGGUCUGAGAGGAUGAUCAGUCACACUGGAACUGAGACACGGUCCAGACUCCUACGGGAGGCAGCAGUGGGGAAUAUUGGACAAUGGGCGAAAGCCUGAUCCAGCCAUGCCGCGUGUGUGAAGAAGGUCUUCGGAUUGUAAAGCACUUUAAGUUGGGAGGAAGGGCAGUAAAUUAAUACUUUGCUGUUUUGACGUUACCGACAGAAUAAGCACCGGCUAACUCUGUGCCAGCAGCCGCGGUAAUACAGAGGGUGCAAGCGUUAAUCGGAAUUACUGGGCGUAAAGCGCGCGUAGGUGGUUUGUUAAGUUGGAUGUGAAAUCCCCGGGCUCAACCUGGGAACUGCAUUCAAAACUGACUGACUAGAGUAUGGUAGAGGGUGGUGGAAUUUCCUGUGUAGCGGUGAAAUGCGUAGAUAUAGGAAGGAACACCAGUGGCGAAGGCGACCACCUGGACUAAUACUGACACUGAGGUGCGAAAGCGUGGGGAGCAAACAGGGUUAGAUACCCUGGUAGUCCACGCCGUAAACGAUGUCAACUAGCCGUUGGAAGCCUUGAGCUUUUAGUGGCGCAGCUAACGCAUUAAGUUGACCGCCUGGGGAGUACGGCCGCAAGGUUAAAACUCAAAUGAAUUGACGGGGGCCCGCACAAGCGGUGGAGCAUGUGGUUUAAUUCGAAGCAACGCGAAGAACCUUACCAGGCCUUGACAUCCAAUGAACUUUCUAGAGAUAGAUUGGUGCCUUCGGGAACAUUGAGACAGGUGCUGCAUGGCUGUCGUCAGCUCGUGUCGUGAGAUGUUGGGUUAAGUCCCGUAACGAGCGCAACCCUUGUCCUUAGUUACCAGCACGUAAUGGUGGGCACUCUAAGGAGACUGCCGGUGACAAACCGGAGGAAGGUGGGGAUGACGUCAAGUCAUCAUGGCCCUUACGGCCUGGGCUACACACGUGCUACAAUGGUCGGUACAGAGGGUUGCCAAGCCGCGAGGUGGAGCUAAUCCCACAAAACCGAUCGUAGUCCGGAUCGCAGUCUGCAACUCGACUGCGUGAAGUCGGAAUCGCUAGUAAUCGAGAAUCAGAAUGUCGCGGUGAAUACGUUCCCGGGCCCCUCAAACGCCGCCCGUCAA
rnacentral:rRNA from 1 species